rnacentral:lncRNA from 1 species
UACAUACUUUCCCUUUAACCCCAGAGUUAUUUUUUAAAACUACAUAAUUGCUGUUUUUGUGUAUUAUCUAUAUGGAUCUUUAACAAAACAUGAUUGUUUACAUACUUUCCCUAUAACCCCAGAGUUGGCUUUUAAAACUACAUGAUUGCUGUUUUUGUGUAUUAUCUCAGUGCUCUAAAAUUAUCCUAGCCUACACGCGGGCAUGGGUUAAAGCCCCUUACACAAAUACGGCCAUUUCUCUGGGCCAGGAGCCAGCUGUUCCCAAAAUGGCCACGAUGCCUCAGGAGGGAGGUUGACACCCUGUGCUCUCAGAAGCAGCUCAGAGCUCAGAGGCAGACCUCUACUCAUGCAAUUCUGCCUUCUGUGCAUGCAAUGGAUUGCUGCCAUCUCCAAUCAGCCACAAUGGGAGGCCACCUGCUAGACAUGGAAGAGCCACCGGAUGGAAGAAGCCUGGGUCUCUGAAAUACUGCUUGGAGUAGACUACUCUGCCUGCAAACUAGGAGCACUGAUUUUGGACUUUUUGGGAGGGACUUCUAUGCCCUCUGCAGUUUGCCUCUUCCUCUGCUAUUUUUUCAUGUAUGUGUAUGUUUUUUGCCUGUAUUUGCAAUGCCAGCCAUCAUUUGCCAUGUCUUCUAGCGGCAACCUGCAUUUAGCCCAGAUCUGCUGUGAUUAUUCCUUUUCACAAACCACAAUGACUCUGGAAAACCUGGCUGUAAACACCAGCACUGCCACCAGCUAAGGAUCUGUGAUCAGGAGUGCCAUCUCACGGUAACAGGCAGAAGACAAAAGUGAAACCGGGCUGAUGCGAAUCACUGGGAAACUGGCUUUGGCACCUCCAGAGAAUGAACUGUUUCAUAGCCUAGCUGACCAUCCAUGAAAAUGGCUGCCUGGAGAGGCAGUGAUCAGCCCAUCCCUGCAGGGUGAAGAUAAGCUUGUGCAGGCCACUGGCUAACACAGUUCAUCCCAUGCCUCCUACAUACCAAGCACUGUGCCAGGCACUUUUCACGUCUGGCAUCCUCAGAAUCCUCCAAAAGGUCGGAUUCAGACAAUCCGGUGGAGCACUCUGAAAUUUAGAGGAAGUGGUCAAAUAGAAUUUUCUGGAAUUAUGGAAAUCUUCUAUUCUGUGCAUCUAGUAUAGUAGAAUCUAGUCACAUGUGGCUUUUGAGAACUGGAAAUAUGGCUAAUGCAACAGAGAAAGUGAAUUUUUACUUUUGAUUCAUUUAAAUAUAAAUGGUCACAUAUGACAUCACUGCCAUAUUGGACAUUGCAGUUCUGGAAGAUGGCAGAUGCAGCCCUCAGAAGAAUUAUCAGCCUGAAUGUCUGGGCGGAGCAGAGCACUACCUUCCCACUCACUCUUCCCCUCCUCUCGCCCCCUCCCCUGCCUCACUUGCAUCAGAUUAUGAUGUGAGCAAAAGCAGGAAACAGCUCUUUUGAUAGGCCUGUGAGACUUGCUGUUCGUUGGAGUAGCUAGGCUGCUCUGACUCAUACAGACCCAAAUCCUGGCAACCACUUUUAUGAAGAAAUGACAAUUCAGUCUACUACUUGUCCAUUUUACAUGCCCAAGGAAUGUGAGGGGCCUCUGCUUGGAUCUAGUUUUCAACCUAGUCUAUGGCAUUGAUUAUCCUUUUAAAAGACAAAAGAGGUGACUUCACGGGCACUUAACAUCUUGGCCAUACUGACCCCAGUUGCACGCUACGUAGGAAGUUUUAGUCCAUUUAAACUGAAGUUCCAAUUUUUUUUUUAACAACUAUUUAAAAAUUGUACAUGUCCCAUACAUGACAGAGAAAGGGUUGUCUGGUUGGAUGAUUUUUGGCUUGCAAAAAGAGAACACAAAAGAAAAGCAUACGUUUUAAUACUCAAGAGACCAAAUUUUCUGCUGAAGAGGAAAUGAACUACAUAUCCAGAAGGGUCCUACCAAGAGGCCAAACAGACUGUGUUCUCUUGGGGGAGUUCUCAGUGGUGAUGAGAACACCACUUUUUUUUUUUUUUUAGUCAUUUUCAAGGUGAGAUAUUGACUUGCUGCUGGAGCAGGACAACUGGUCUCUCUUUCAUUGCUAGCAGCAGAGUAAGGGUCUUGCAAGUUUCAGGCAGCAGCAGAGAAAGGGUCUUGCAAGUUUCAGUCCAAAGCAAGAAGAGCUAGGAUUGCACCAGCUGUCUCACCUACUCUGUGCUCACCUGUUUCUGGAUGAAGCACGGUGACAUCUGUUUUAUUGUAAAGAGAACCAACUUUGGAAUCAAAUGGAACCUGUAUUAAAAUCCUGAAUCCGUCACUAGCUUGGACAAGUCACUUCACUUCUCUGAACCUUGUUUUAUUCCAGUUAAGAAUAAUAGUAAGCCAGUCCCACAGAGCUGUAGCAAGGUUAAAAUGAAUGGUUGUCUGUAGAAGCAUUUAAAAUAGGGCUUCAUACAGAGCCAGUACCUGGGGAGACUGAGGGUUUGAACCACAUAGUUCCACUCUGGCAAAUCACAGAGGGGCUGUAGGAUGGUCCUUUAAGGGGGAUGUGUUAUGGGUUAAUUGGAACAGUGCUUCUUAAACUCCAGUGUGCAUUCAUAUUGCUUAGGGGUUUUGUUUAAAUGCAGAUUCUGAGUUACUAGGAUUAUGCAAUUUGAAUGAGCUUGCAGAUAAUUUCAUGGCUGCUGGUCUCUGACAUCACCUUUGAGAAGCAAAGAAUUAAAGGUCCUGUCCUGAUCUGUCUCCUUCUCCUGUUAUCUGUGCAAAAGAGAUAUACUGUCUACUUUGCAUAGUGAGAUGGCAGGUACAAAAGUAGGAUGAGGAUAAUGUAGCAUGAGCACAGAGAAGGAAAACCUAGGAGGAUGAGUAAAGAAAUCAUGGGAAAAGAGAUAGAUUCAAGGCUUUCAAUCCUGACUAGACUUUAAAUUCACCUGGAGAGCUUUAAAAAAACUAGCCAUUGUCUGGUCCCAGGAAUACUGAUUUAAUUGAUUAGGAUGGGACCAGACAUGACAUGUUAAAGAAAAUAACUCCCCAGAUUAUUCUAGUGUGUAGCCAGGGUUAAGAACUGCUGGGCUAGACAAAUGAGACAACUUUCCCAGAUGGAAAGAAUCAGGAAGGGGCCUUAUCAAGAUAUUAUGUCAGGUUUGGUUUUCAGGGGGCUGAUAGGAAAGAAAAAGAAAUGCUUCAUGGAAAUUGCAGGUAAGACAGGCCAAUUGGUUGAAACCUUGACAAAUCAGACCAUUUGAUCAAAUUGUUCCCAAAAUAUGAAAACUCUGUCUCAACCGAAAUAAUCACUUAGCUCUGGGACUCUAAAGCAACCUGUUUGUCUGUUGGGAAGCUAGGGUAAAUGUGAGAAGUGAAAUCCAUGCCAUUUUUUGGAACUGGAGACUUUUUAAUAAUUUCAUUAACAUUGUCAGUUUGGUUGUCCUCUGUGAUCAGAAGCUGUCGAAUGAUGUUCAUUUGAGUACAGAAGCCAGCCCUUUCUGUAGCAUUAACCAGGCCUCAGUCCAGUGGAUCUCUACAGGGUGCCACGAGCCCAGCACAAGUGCUCCAACACAUUCUGACCAAUGAGCAUAAUUAAUUUGUUGUAAUUGACUUUACACUCUUGAAGCCCAGGUGUAGACUUCCUUCUUGUUACCAGAAGCCAGCUCAGACAUGGCCCUUUGCCAGCCUCAACACAAAGCUCAGCUCUCUUCCAGGGUUCCCUAAGAUCUAGGCACGUCAAGCAUCUGAAAAUAAUAUGGUUUUACAGAAGAUUCCUUACAUCCUGCGGUGGGGCCAGCUCAGGCACUGAACAACGUUUUGUUUGAGCAAUCCCCAUUGGACACAUCUCUCCCCCGAAUCCCUGUCUGCACAGCCAAUAAGGUGAUUCUCCUCUGUCACCCUCCUUAGCCCUUGCCCAUUCUUUUAUUCCUUUACAAGACAGCUGGGUUUAGCCCUGUCCUAAGUGCUCCACACUCGGCUGCCUGCACCCAGGCAUAGCAAACACAAAGCCCUUCGGAACCCCAGGCCCACCCUCUUUAGAUACAUGUUAUAAACUGUUACUGUUGAUGAGGUCAUUCCAGUGGGUGUCAAGCUGGGCACAGCUUCUGGUAAGAAGAAGAAAGCAUAGCAGAUUCACAUCUCAGCCAAAGAACCUGGCUGUGAAAAGCCUUUGCCUAAAAGGUCAUGCAGUCCACAGUUCUGCCACACAACUGCAGCCUGGAAUCACAUGGGGAGUUCUUAAAAUGCUGAUGGCUGGGCUGUACCCCUGAAAUUCUGAUUUAAUUGGCCUGGGGUGUGGCCUGGGCAUUAGAGUUUUGUUAAAGUUCCCAAGUCAUUCCUGCCAUGCUGCCAAAUUUGAGAGACGUUGUUCUAAAGAGGCUUAGCGAUAAAGGCCAAGUGAAAAGGACAACCAGUCCUACGUUAUAGUUGCAAUUGCUUUGUCCUUAUUACUGACCUGUUUGGUCUUGUUUUGAGUCUUUUAAUCCCUUCAACUGAACUCUCCAAAAUUCUACUAUUGGACAGUAUAGCACAGAAAGUUUGGG